GGCCAGGCUGCGUGGGGCGGCGUGCUGCUGUGCCGCGGGGUGCAGUGUGCUCUGCGUUGCAUGCGGCUGUGCCGUGCCAUGCUGCGCGGUGCAGUGCAGUGCUGUGCCGUGCCAUGCUGCGCGGUGCAGUGCCGUGCUGUGUUGUGCAGUGCUGUGCCAUGCUAUGCUGUGCCAUGCCAUGCUGCGCAGUGUGGUGCAUUGCUGUGUUGUGCAGUGCCGUGCCAUGCAGUGCUGUGCCAUGCCAUGCUGCCCCCGGUGUGGUGCAUUGCUCUGUUGUGCAGUGCUGUGCCGUGCCAUGCAGUGAUGUGCCAUGCCAUGCUGCACGGUGCAGUGUAUUGCCGUGUUGUGCAUUGCGGUGCCAUGCCAUGCUGUGCAGUGCGGUGUAUUGCUGUGUUGUGCAGUGCCGUGCCAUGCUAUGCUGUGCCGUGCCAUGCUGCCCGGUGCAGUGUACUGCUGUGUUGUGCUGUGCCAUGCAGUGUUGUGCCAUGCCAUGCUGUCCGGUGCGGUGUACUGCUGUGUUGUGCAGUGCAGUGUGGUGCUGUGCCGUGCCAUGCUAUGCUGUGUGGUGCACUGUACUGCUGUGUCGUGCAGCACAAUGUGGUGCCAUGCAGUGCUGUGCCAUGCCAUGCUGCCCAAUGCAGUGUACUUCUGUGUUGUGCAGCGCAGUGUGGUGCUGCGCAGUGCUGCGCAGUGCUGUGCCGUGCCAUGCUGCCCAAUGCAGUGUAUUGCUGUGUUGUGCAGCACAGUGCAGGGCCAUGCAGUGCUGUGCCAUGUCAUGCUGCCCAAUGCAGUGUACUUCUGUGCUGUGCAGUGCAAUGGGGUGCCAUGCAGUGCCGCGCCAUGCCAUGCUGUGCAGUGUAUUGCUGUGCAGUGCAGUGCAGUGCGGGGCCAUGUGUGGUGCUGUGCAGCGCCCUGCGGUGCCGUGCCACGCUGUGCUGCGGGGCGCACUGCUGUGUUGCGCGGCCCCAUGCCAUGCUGUGCCAUGCUGUGCAGCGCGGGGCGGUGCUGCGCCGAGCCGUGCUGCAUGGUGCACCACGGUGUUGUGCAGCGCUGCGCCGUGCUGUGCCGUGCCCUCCUGCCGGUGCCACGCACAGGGUGCGGGGUGCGGGGCCAACCUGCGGGCACGGGACGGGGUGCGGUGCAGGAUGCAGACGGGGGCACAGGGCAGUGCGGACGGUGCAGCCUGGUGCAGGGUGCAGUGUGGUGCUGGCGGGAAGCGCUCCCGCUCUGCCCAGUGUGCAGACGUCACCGGGGGCAGGGUGCAGGGUGCAGAGCAUGCUGCAGGGCACGGGGCAGGGUGCAGGGUGCAGAGCAUGCUGCAGGGCACGGGGCAGGGUGCAGGGUGCAGAGCAUGCUGCAGGGCACGGGGCAGGGUGCAGGGUGCAGAGCAU
rnacentral:lncRNA from 1 species